GCCCGCAUAGCUCAAAGAGUAGAGCAGCUGUUUCGUAAUCAGCAGAACGGGGUGCAAUUCCUCGUGCGGGCUCCA
rnacentral:tRNA from 1 species